rnacentral:lncRNA from 1 species
GUAACCUUCUAGAAUCCCAGCAUCUUUAGGCAGGUAGACAGGUUAGCCUAGUUUAUGACUCUCACGUGCAGUAUGGUCAGUAGGGAAGCAAAUUGUCCUGUUUGUGGCACCCAGGGCCAUUCUGGUUUUAGUGUUGACAGUCCAGCAUCCUAGGAAAAUCUUCGUCUCAGGAAAACCAGGGCAACUGGUCACCCUAGCAAUCAGCCAAAGUGAAAUAAAGAAUGUCUACAAGCUGAGGUCGACCACAGGUUAAGGCAAAAUGAUUUGAUGCCCUUAAUGUUGGCACAAAGCAGUUUUCUUUCUUUGUAUCUACACACAGAGCGUCCUUUUAGACCUGCCAAAAUGCUAAAGUAAUUAUGUUCCCUCUUUGUUGUAGCUUGAAAAUAUUCACAGAAGUCCUGGAGCCUGCUUUCUUCCAGCCGACUGACUACUUAGUGAAGCAUUCCUUGCUUAGCUGCUUCAAUCUUCCCUCUUUUCAUCAUUUUAGCUGAUCUCUUCUGAACCUCUGCCAAUUUAUCUGCAUCUUCUUGAUACCAUGGCACUCUGGAUUGAACACCAAGCGCAUUUAUGUAGGCUUUCACCUCCUCGUCUCAUUAUAUGCCCCAGGCAGCAAAUGCAGCAAAACCAUGGAAUGUUCCAUGUACUCCAGAAAUUAGAAGUUCCUUCAAUGCAUGAGGUAAGCCUCUAUUUAUUUUUAAUUCACCCCCAUACCUAGUAAAAUGUGCCAUACCCUGUGAGCAUCCAGUAAAUGUGGAUUAGCUGAUGGCUGGCCUCAAAUGAACAAAGCCUGAUUCGGUUCAAACCCUGCAGGUCGUGAACUCUGGCACAAAUGUAGGCGUGUCUUUGGGUCUCCUUCCUAGCACCAGUGACAUAGCAGGAAUCUAUCAAAAUUUAUAAAAUAAAUUUUGGCACGCUAUAAAAUAAUUAUUAGCA